rnacentral:piRNA from 1 species
UCCGAGGACGCGGAGGAUGACGAUGAUG